rnacentral:rRNA from 1 species
GUGCUUGCACCCUCUGUAUUACCGAGGGCGCAAGCGUUAAUCGGAAUUACUGGGCGUAAAGCGCGCGUAGGUGGUUUGUUAAGUUGAAUGUGAAAUCCCCGGGCUCAACCUGGGAACUGCAUCCAAAACUGGCAAGCUAGAGUAUGGUAGAGGGUAGUGGAAUUUCCUGUGUAGCGGUGAAAUGCGUAGAUAUAGGAAGGAACACCAGUGGCGAAGGCGACUACCUGGACUGAUGCUGGCACAGAGGGUGCGAAAGCGUGGGGAGCAAACAGGAUUAGAUACCCUGGUAGUCC